CUAGACGAAGGGCAUAUACCAGUUAAACUCCGCCAUUUUGCCUCUCAGUGUUCAAGCUUGAGCCCACGCAUCCAACUCCUGAGAUCUUACUGGGAAGCUGCUGAUCAUCAGUUUCAGGAAGUCAGCAUGGAUCAGCCUUACGUUCAUGGCCUCCAGGCCCUAUUCUCCUGCCUCACAGGGACCGGCCAGGAUCUCUAUCCUUACAGCACGUUGGAAUGUAUAUGCUCCUCUCCCCACAUCGCCUUAGGGAGCAGGCAGGUGUCAGGGGCAGCACAAGGACGGCCAACAGGACAGAAGACGGGUUGAAGAUCCGAGAGGCUGAGUCACUUCCACAAAGUAACACAGCUGCAUCCCUGCAGCAGGCUCCAGGUGGAAUUCUAAUGGGACCAGCCUCCAGUCCCUGGACCUUAGCCGUGGAAGGAGAGAAGAGGACAUCUGCACCUCCUCUCAGAGAAAGCCUGAUGCCUACUAAAGGACUUGGGUGGUGGACGCAGUGACCCUCAGUCUGGAGCUUGUUCACUGAACAUUGGAGACUAUCAUUUGCGCAGAUGGUCUUGGGCCUCUAUGAGCAGCAGGCUGCACCCCACAGUGACCUCCUCAUUCUACUCUGAGGCAUCUUCAUGAAAGCAGAUGUCCAUUGAAAAGCACCCAAGUGCAGUCUCAGCUGAUGAACUUCAGAGGCGAUUGAGACAAAGGCUCUCGGUCCCCUCUGCCCUUGGAUGGUGCCUCUGGUAUGCACUUGGCCUCUGUGUCUUUAUUUAGACUGGUCACUUCACAACCCAUCAUGUCACCCCACCCCUAACCGUGCCCACUCUGGGUCCUCCCCUCAACUGCCUGACUUCCCACUUUGAGCUCAGCAAAGGCAAUAGAUGUUUUGUCUGCUUCGAUACCCUAAAUGCAUGGCGUGGAAGCUGGCACACAGUGGGCCCUUGAAAUUUGGGAGUGAAUAUGUAUAUAUAUUAUAUUCCAACCUCAACUUUCCUCACUGCUCCUCAUAGUAGGAAUGGAUUGUAAAACUUCCCAGAAUGUUCAAGAGGAGAAAGGAGAGAAAACAGCCUGGAAUUUGAGCUAAGGGGCCCACAGCCCAGCCACCAAGCCAUCUGUAAAAUGGGGUGGGAAUAUGACAUGAGCCACAGGGGUGCUAUGAGGGUUAAUGAGGUCACCGUGCGAUGUACCAUGCCAACAUGAAUAACCAGACCUCUUGAUAUCAUCA
ensembl:lncRNA LINC02318 long intergenic non-protein coding RNA 2318